rnacentral:tRNA from 1 species
UUAAUUAAAGCCAAAAAGAGGCAAAUUAUUGUUAAUAAUUUCAAUGAACUACUUAUUCUAAUUGGAAUAAAAUAAA